rnacentral:rRNA from 1 species
AACGUGCCCAAUAGUGGGGGAUAGCCCGGCGAAAGCCGGAUUAAUACCGCAUGAGACCUGAGGGUGAAAGCGGGGGAUUCGCAAGGACCUCGCGCUAAUGGAGCGGCCGAUAUCAGAUUAGGUAGUUGGUGGGGUAAAAGCCUACCAAGCCGACGAUCUGUAGCUGGUCUGAGAGGACGACCAGCCACACUGGGACUGAGGCACGGCCCAGACUCCUACGGGAGGCAGCAGUGGGGAAUUUUGGACAAUGGGCGCAAGCCUGAUCCAGCCAUGCCGCGUGCGG